GUUUUCGUUUUGCCGCACAAAUUUUGGCUACUCACCGCUUUCCCUUCACCAAUUCCACAACUCACUGCUUUCCACAACAAACUAGGGUUUUCAUUUCUAACCCUCAAACGACGAUUCAGUGAGCCAGAGAGAAUCAAAGAUACAAAAUGGUGAAAUUCCUCAAGCCAAACAAAGCCUUCAUCGUCCUCCAAGGACGCUACGCAGGAAAGAAGGUCGUCAUCAUCAAGAACUUCGACGAUGGAACUUGUGAAUGUUCUUACGGCCAUGCUUUGGUUGCCGGGAUCAAGAAGUACCCAAGCAAGGUUAUAAAGAAGGAUUCGGCAAAGAAAACUGCUAAUAAGUCGUGCCUAAAGGCCUUUGUCAAGCUGGUUAACUAUUAGCAUCUGAUGCCUACCCGUUACACUUUGGAUGUUAAUUUGAAGGAGGUGGUUACCAAUGACUUGCUUUUGAGUAAUAUUCCAAUAACCCUAAGCCAGACAAGAAGAAGCUCGGAGGAAACACCGUCGAUUCACCGCCGUCGGCCAUCGAUUCACCACCGUUGGCCAUCGAUUCUCCCUCGUUGUGCUUGACAAAUUGAUGGAGAAAUGGGCCGAAUUUGUCGUUCGCGUUGUGCCCACCAAGUAUUCGCUACAGGUGCCGUCGAUAAAGUGGCUUUGUUUGAUCAUUCAUCAAAGGAGAUUUCUACUCUGCAGCCGUUGAAGGAGGUGGCUGCUUCGAAGCUGAUGGUGGUGGAGAACACCGUUAAGUCAGUAGAUACUGGAGAUGGGAGUGAUGGCAAUGCAGGUCGUUCUAAGAAGCCUGCAUGGAACAAACCCGCUAAGCGAGUGGUCAUCGAGACUGGUCCUGUCAAGGGUGCUGAAUCCUAGCCUGCUUUAUCUGAAUCCACCAAAGUUUCUACUAAAUCGAUAGCUGAAUCGGCCUCCAAAGCUGCUGUUGCUGAUGGAUCAACUUCCACUUCUCAGGUUUUGUUCUAAUUCUUGCCCUAAUUUUGUGAUCAAAAUUUUUUUCAGGUAAGUUCUCUGAUUAAUUUAUUGUUUUUUAGUAUAAGAGGAUUGUAAUUUGUAAGAUGAAUCCCGUUAAUCUAAAAAUAUUAUUGUGAUUGAUGCAAAUUUUGUUUCUAUAGACUUGGGUUACCCAAGUUGGGUAUACUGAGAAUCCUACUUUCGGCAGGAUAUAAAGGUGUAUGUAUAUGAUUAAACACUAUAGAUAUAGAUAUGAUAAUGAUAGUAUUUUGUAGUUCAAUCGAUGUAGUAUAAGGCUUAUUCUGAACCUUAGUUGAUGAUGAUAAAACUCUGUUUCGGUUUGUUAAAUUUAUAUCCAACAUAAUGCCAUUGUCAAACAGGGUAUGUCUUUGCAAGGAUGUGUUUUAUAUCUACUUUUGUAUUGGUAAAUGGUGAGUCUUAUCUGCUUGCAUGACCUCUCUAUUGUUUUAAAUUCCAACGAGGUAUUAAUCUGUGAGUUGUUCGAAGUUUAUAUUCUCUAUUUAGGUUGUUUAGAAGCAGUGCGUUCUCAAUUGGUUUUCAAGCCCUUAACUAUCCUUAUCUCGAGGCUUCGAUUGAUACGUUACUAUGUGUCUUGUAAUCAAUUCCACGAGGCUGAAAUUGAAGGGUUUAAGCUUUUAGAGAGGCUUCAUGAAGUGAAAAGCAAGGGGGAGAAGAUUCUUCCUGAGAUUGACAAAGGUGGGGUAGUUGAUAAAGAGUUAUCCUCGUUGGUUAUUGAUAUUUUUGUGACUUUAGUGAAGUGUGCAUCAAUGGCUUCCGUUAAAGAUGACGGCUACUUCAGAAGGGUGCUUCAUUUGAUGGAUGAAGUAAGGCUAUGGCUUGGGGAUUGGGUUCCAAUUCAUAUGAGAAAUUUCACAAGGCAUUAGCAGAUCACGGGGCUGAGUUUAAUGAAGAUGUUACAGCUUUGAAGGAUUGCAGCCGCAUUUCCGAAGAUGAAAUCAACUGUGCCUUAGAUGUCACAUUCUCUAUUGAAUUGUCUUAGUGAGUGAACAUAGAGUGUGUCUUGGUAUCCUUCGAAACUGCAUCGGUAGAAUAUUGAAAGAUCCGCGUUGUUUCUCACUGCUACUUCUUGAUGCUUUUCAGGUCCUGCUGUUUUUUUGAAUGUUAUGUCCACUGCUAUUAAUCUCUCUCCAGAUACAGCUGCAUUAAAAUCAAAACAACAAUGUCAACAUGAUAUUACCAUAAACAUUGAUUUCCUGUGAUGCAAGUAUUGUUAAUACCAUCACCAAUAAAAUCUUUUCGGUUCUUGUACAGUUGGAUGAUUUGUUGCAACUGAAUUUUGUUCUAAGAAGCUGCAGCAGAGAAAUGUCACGACUUUAGCUUUUAUUAAAUUAAAAAAAAAUAGAAAAAGAUUACUUCAAUGCAUAAUAAAGAAGAUGAAUUCACGUGAGUUGCACGUGCAGGGUUUUUUUCAUUAUGGCACAAAAAAGAACAUGAAUGCACGUGAUUGAUUAUCAAGUUGUUAGAUAUUGCUCUGAAUAUUUAUUGUUUUUGGUUAAGGAUACUAGUGACAACUUAAGGACAAUCUAGAUUGACUAGAAUUAGUGAUAUAGCUGUGUUUUGAAGAUGUAUCACGCUCGGCUAUACAUGUACUGGUUAUGAAAUGAAUGUUCAUGAUAUAUGGUGGAAUAAUAAAAGUUACAUUAUGAAUA